rnacentral:rRNA from 1 species
CACAUGCAAGUCGAACGGAGUUAGCGCUUCCGAAGCUUCGGCAGAGGAUUGCUAAACUAGUGGCGGACGGGUGAGUAACGCGUGGGUAACCUGCCAUAUACAGGGGGAUAACACUUAGAAAUAGGUGCUAAUACCGCAUAAGCGCACAGCAUCGCAUGAUGCAGUGUGAAAAACUCCGGUGGUAUAUGAUGGACCCGCGUCUGAUUAGCUAGUUGGUGAGGUAACGGCCCACCAAGGCGACGAUCAGUAGCCGGCCUGAGAGGGUGAACGGCCACAUUGGGACUGAGACACGGCCCAAACUCCUACGGGAGGCAGCAGUGGGGAAUAUUGCACAAUGGGGGAAACCCUGAUGCAGCCGACGCCGCGUGAGUGAAGAAGUAUUUCGGUAUGUAAAGCUCUAUCAGCAGGGAAGAUAAUGACGGUACCUGACUAAGAAGCCCCGGCUAACUACGUGCCAGCAGCAGC